ensembl:lncRNA
UCCCAACUUAGCCCAAAUCAGCCCAAAUUUAGCCACAAUUUAGCCACAAUUUUUCCCAUUUUUUCCCAUUUUUUUCCCAUUUUUUUCCCAUUUUUAUCUCAUUUUUUUCCAAUUUUUUCCCCAAUUUUAUCCAAUUUUUAUCCCAUUUUUUACCCAAUUUUUCCCAUUUUUUUCCAAAUUUUUUGCCAUUUUUCCCCAAUUUUUCCCCAAUUUUUUUCCCAUUUUUUUCCCAUUUUUUCCCAUUUUUUUCAAAUUUUUUUCCCAUUUUUUCCCCAUUUUUUCCCCAAUUUUUCCCCAAUUUUAUCCCAAUUUUAUUCCAAUUUUCCCCAAUUUUUCCCCAAUUUUUUCCCCAAUUCUUCCCCAAUUCUUUCCAAUUUUUCCCCAAUUUUUCCCCAAUUUUUCCCCAUUUUUUCCCCAUUUUCCCCAAUUUUCCCCCAAUUUUUCCCCAUUUUUUCCCCAAUUUUUCCCCAAUUUUUUCCCAUUUUUUCCCCAAUUUUUCCCCAAUUUUAUCCCAAAUUUUUCCCAAUUUUUCCCAUAUUUAUCCCAAUUUUUUCCAAUUUUUUCCCCAUUUUUUCCCCCAUUUUUCCCCAUUUUUCCCCAAUUUUCCCCCAUUUUUUCCCCAAUUUUUCCCCAAUUUUUCCCCAAUAUUUCCCCAUUUUUUCCCCAUUUUCCCCAUUUUUUUCCCCAUUUUUUCCCCAAUUCUUUCCAAUUUUUCCCCAAUUUUCCCCCAUUUUUUCCCCAUUUUUUCCCAAUUUUUCCCCAAUUUUUCCCCAUUUUUUCCCCAAUUUUUCCCCAAUUUUUCCCCAAUUUUUCCCCAAUUUUUCCCAAUUUUUUCCCAAUUUUUCCCCAAUUUUUCCCCAUUUUUCCCCAUUUUUCCCCCAUUUUUUCCCAUUUUUCCCCAAUUUUUCCCCAAUUUUUCCCCAUUUUUUCCCCAAUUUUUCCCCAAUUUUUCCCCAAUUUUUCCCCAAUUUUUCCCAUUUUUUCCCCAUUUUUUUCCCAUUUUUUUCAAAUUUUUAUCUCAUUUUUUCCCAAUUUUUUCCCCAAUUUUAUCCAAUUUUUAUCCCAUUUUUUUCCCAAUUUUUUCCCAUUUUUAUCCCAUUUUUUCCCAUUUUUUUCCAAAUUUUUUGCCAUUUUUUUCCAAUUUUUCCCCAAUUUUUCCCCAUUUUUUCCCCAUUUUUUCCCCAUUUUUUCCCCAAUUUUUCCCCAAUUUUUCCCCAUUUUUCCCCAAUUUUUCCCUAUUUUUUUCCCAAUUUUUCCCCAAUUUUUCCCCAUUUUUUCCCCAAUUUUUCCCCAAUUUUUCCCCAAUUUUUCCCCAAUUUUUCCCAUUUUUUCCCAAUUUUUCCCCAAUUUUUCCCCAUUUUUUCCCCAAUUUUUCCCCAUUUUUUCCCAUUUUUUUCCCAUUUUUAUCCCAUUUUUUCCCAUUUUUUCCCCAAUUUUUCCCCAAUUUUUCCCCAAUUUUCCCCAAUUUUUCCCCAAUUUUUCCCCAUUUUUUCCCCAAUUUUUUCCCCAAUUUUCCCCCAAUUUUUCCCAAUUUUUCCCCAAUUUUUUUCCCAAUUUUUCCCCAAUUUUUCCCCAUUUUUUUCCCAUUUUUUCCCAAUUUUUUUCCAAAUUUUUUCCCUUUUUUUCCUAUUUUUUUCCAAUUUUUCCCUAAUUUUUAUCCCAAUCUUUUCCCCAUUUUUUCCCAUUUUUUUUCCCAAUUUUAUCCAAAUUUUUUCCCAUUAUUCCCCCAUUUUUUCCCCAAUUUUAUCCCAAUUUUUAUCCCAUUUUUAUCCUAUUUUUUCCCAUAUUUUUUUCAAUUUUUCCCCAUUUUUCCUGGAUUUUUUUCCCAUUUUUUCCCCUUUUUCCCCCAUUUUUUCCCCAAUUUUUUUCACGAUUUUUUCCCAAUUUUUUCCCCUUUUUCCCCAAUUUUUCUCAAUCCCAUGGAUCCCAACGUCCCCUACCCGCCCCUGCUGGCCCAAGGUAACAUCCCAUAAUAGUCCCAAAAUUAUCCCAAAUUUUUCUCCAUUUUUUCCCAUUUUUUUCCAAUUUUUCCCCAAUUUUUUCCCAAUUUUUUUCUCCCAAUUUUUUCCUAUUUUUCUCCCUAUUUUUCCCCAUUUUCUUCCCAAUUUUCCCCCAUUUUCUUGA